GAUGAACGCUGGCGGCGUGCCUAAUACAUGCAAGUCGAGCGAACGGACGAGAAGCUUGCUUCUCUGAUGUUAGCGGCGGACGGGUGAGUAACACGUGGAUAACCUACCUAUAAGACUGGGAUAACUUCGGGAAACCGUAGCUAAUACCGGAUAAUAUUUUGAACCGCAUGGUUCAAAAGUGAAAGACGGUCUUGCUGUCACUUAUAGAUGGAUCCGCGCUGCAUUAGCUAGUUGGUAAGGUAACGGCUUACCAAGGCAACGAUGCAUAGCCGACCUGAGAGGGUGAUCGGCCACACUGGAACUGAGACACGGUCCAGACUCCUACGGGAGGCAGCAGUAGGGAAUCUUCCGCAAUGGGCGCAAGCCUGACGGAGCAACGCCGCGUGAGUGAUGAAGGUCUUCGGAUCGUAAAACUCUGUUAUUCGGGAAGAACAUAUGUGUAAGUAACUGUGCACAUCUUGACGGUACCUAAUCAGAAAGCCACGGCUAACUACGUG
rnacentral:rRNA from 1 species